UUACACCGUGGACAUUCAUGGACAUACCUUGUUUUCCUUACUUGAUAAUGGAAUCUAUAGAGAAGAAUGCAUGUUAAAAUUUCUAUGUAUUAGGAAACAAGUUCUGGUAUAGGAUAGAUGCUCAGUAAAUGAAAAAUGCUGUUACACAUAUACUGUAAAUAUAGCAAAUAAUGCCAUUCGAACUUAGACAUGACAGAUGGAGAAGAACACAGGUAGACAAGACCUGAUUGCAACUGAAAUUGCCAAAAAGUAGAGUUCAGCAAUUUUUUAAAAAUUUAUUUAUUUUCAUUUUGUUUGAAAGUCAGGGAGAAGGAGCCAGAGACAUAGAGGCAGACAGAGAGAUCUUCCUUCCACUGGUCCAUUUCCCAAAUGCCUCCAAGAUCUGGGUCUGGGCCAGGCCAAAGCCAGGAUCUUCAAACUCAAUCCAGGUCACCCACGUGGACAGUAUGAAUCCAAGUACUGGCGCCAUCACCACUGCCUCCCGGGAUGCAUAUUAGCAGGGAAUUGGAUCAGAAGUGGAAGAGCAAAGACAUUGACGAGAACAAAGAAUGAACUUUGUCAUGGGACCUGUCAGGGAAGUCGUUGAGUUUUACCAUACUCCCCCAGCUGAUCACAGACAAGCAGUCACCAUACGCUGGCCACCUGGUCACUUACUUCAGUAUUGGUGCCAGAGCUUGUCUUUCACCCAACUGGAUUCAUAAAGUCAUCUUGCAUUAGAGGAAGCUGGAAACUUGCUCAAUGCAAGUAUCAACACACAUUCAAGAGUGCUGUCAUUAACAGCUCUCCUUGGAGUAAAUGCUGACGAUAUCAACUUUGAAUUUGUAUUGGAUGCAAAAUUUAAGGUGUGUUUAUUUUAUUGUUUACUUCACCUAUUGUCAAACAGGAUUUGAAAUGGGGAUGUAUGAUAUACAUUCUUAAACACCAGAAAUACCAGAGAAAGUUAACUAUGCUCUGCUGACAUUUUACUUUAAUUCCCUUCUCUUGUGUUCUAACAAAAGCUUUCUGGGCGUAAGAACAGAUUCUACACUCUGUAGAAAUAGAAUUAGUCUUCUGAAAUGCCUCCUCUGGUGACUGCUUCUCUCUCCUUGAGGGAGUCUCUGUUGGCUGACUCAGUCACAUCAAAAUCAUUGUGCUUUUUAAUACCGCGGGAGAUGCCCUCUUAAAAAUCCUUCUGCAGUUCCCUGAGGGGGCCCAUAAUUUCCCAGGGCGACUCCCGGUGAAGAGGGAGUUGACAGCCCAGGAGAAGCCGGCUUGUUUACCCGGGCAGUGAUCGCAUCUUUGUGCCCUUGUUCAAAUAAUAAGGAGAUAACUUCUUUCAAAAUGGAAAGAAAUGGCUGUGAUUUGCUGAUCCACUCCCUACAUGGCUACCAUGACAGGAGUUUGGACUGGCCAAAGUCAGGAACCAGAAACUCUAGCCUGGUCUUCCAGUUGGGUAGCAGGGUCCAAGCGCUUGGGUCAUCUUCCACUACUUUUCCAGGAGCAUUACCAGGUAGCAGAAUCCAAAGUAGAACAUUCAGAACUCAAACUGGCACUCUGACAGGGGAUGCUAGUGUCACAGGUGAACACUUUACACUGUGCACCACAGUGCUGGCCCCAACACUACAUGUCUUCCAGAAAGAUGGGUAGAGAUUCAGAACUAAUCUGCUGUUGCAAAUAAAGAAAGAAAUAUAGACAAUAUAUGUAACUUAGGUAUAAAUUUAAGGAGAACUUCGCAGUCAUCUUGUAUCCUUGAAUCAUCUCAGAUGAGGGAUAGUGGUGCAUCCCUUCUGCCCUUGGUGUGCCUCUGGGAAUGAUGCUGGGCCAGGUUUUAGUUCACAGAAUGUGUUUGAAAGGGAUUUGUAGAAAGCUUUAGGUAGAUUUUUUUGGUUGUAAGAAAAAUAAACAUGCAUGCUAAUUCUUUAAAAAGGAGGUCCAUCAAAGGUAGAAGUGAACUGAGACAAUGCAAGUCAUAAUAAAAGUCUCUGAAUUUCUUUCAUAGGCCACAUACCCAUUCUUUCAAGGCUUUUCCUGUUCGCUCUGUCAUCAGCUCCAUUUUUCCUCCCAUCCGACAAGCUAGCUAAGGUUAUUUUCAGUGUUUGCUCUUAUAACUUUGAUUUGGGGCUUAAUCUCCCAGCUCCAACUUUCUCUAGCAACUGAACUUACUGUCAGUUCCCCUUCUAGGAGUUGGGACACUGCUGGCUCAGUGCAUGUUUUUAAGGGAGGCUCCAAAUUGCAAGUAGCCAUGCGAGUCCUGGUGAGAGAAACCUUGUCGACCUAUAGUCUGAUUACCUGCUCUGUAUGCAGAUUGUGAGUGGUGCAGCUUCAUGUACAAGGGACCGUGGGUCACUGGAUGACAAAUACAGUACAAAGUGCUAGUCAUUGUGAAUGUCAAAUAAUACGGGAUGCUUCCAUUUACAAAUUAUGGUUGCAUGGUGGGUGUUUGGCAUAGCAGUGACAAUGCUGCUUUGUGCCACACACCCCAAGCUGGAGCACCUAGGUUUGAGUCCUGGCUCUGCUUCUGAUUCUAGCUUCCUGCUAGCACACACUCUGGGAGAUGGCAAGUGGUGGCUUGAGAUGUUGGGUUCCUGCCACCCGCAUGGGAGACCAGGAUUGAGUUCUUCACUCUAAACUUCAGCCUGGCCUGGCACUAGCUAGUGCAAGCAUUUGGGGAGUGAACCAGCAUAUGGGAGCUCUCUGCCUUUGAUCUCUCUCUCUCUCUCUCUCUGGUCUAUCUUUCAAAUAAAUAAAAUGAAAUAAAUAAAAGUUACGAUUGCCUAAUAAUAAGGCUUAGUUAAACUAAAUAACAGAAAGUGAUUCUCCAAAGAUAAUGAGUUUAAUCAGAAGUAUGUUUUCCGUAAGGUUGCAGUAGCCUUUAUACAAUGUUGUGGUUCUGGCAGUCUGCUAAGAUAUUUCUUGGUGUCAGAUAUGUACGUAAGAUGCCCCUGAUGACCUUCCAGUAGUAUUUGUUCACUACUUUUUGUUGUUGUUGUUAGUGUUUGACACGUUACUUCAUUUUUGUUAUUUCAGUUUUCACAGGUUAUAAAAAUAGGUAUCUUCAUUAAACUAACCUUGAAUUAUCCUAAAAGUAAUGCUGAAAAUUUGUGAUAGAUGGUGAAGUGAAAUGGAGAUAAUCUAAAAGAAAAUUUGGAAAUGAAACAAAGUAAUACAGUCUAAUGAAAUGAAAAAACUAAUUGAAUAAGCAGUUAUUUGUU